UUAUUUCUAUUUAUGCUUAUAUCAUGCUUUAUUAUAAUAGUUUUCUAUUAUUCUUCGCUAUUUGUUUUGUUUAUUCUAUAUUUGGUUAACGAGUACCAACUGUUGCUAAUAUGUUUAUCGAUAACAGCAUGCCAUCAAUACUACUGUUUGGCAUGACAUCACUGACAUUUAAAUUCUGUGCUGCAGUUGUUAGAAGUGGUUGUUGUGUCAAAAAAUCAUGUUUAUCCGGAAAUAACUGAAAUAAACGUAUUGUGUAUUCAAAUAAUAAUAACUGAAAUGUGUGCAAGUGUUUUCAAUUAUAGUGCUGUUGUGUUUAUCAUCAACGUGGCAGCAGUUAAUGCAUAGCAUAAAAGUGUGAAUUGUGUAAUGUAUCCUGUAGUUGUAUUUGCAUAAAGGAAUACAACGCACUAACUGUGUUUUAGUAAUUAUCAUAUUUACACCAACUAAUGGAUUAGUUAGAGCGACAGCGCGGAAAUCCACAAAACCAGCGUGGAGCCACAUGACAACAAAAGACCAAUCAAUGGAGCUCAGCUUUCAUAAUUACAUACUAGAAGCAAUAUAUGGCAGCCUCGCUCUUUAAACCAGCUUCUACCACACUCGCCUAGGUGCUCUCGUUCAGCACUUUCUUUCCACUUGGCGCAUGCACUUCCGAGAGCCGAAAAGUGAUGUCUUUUCAAAUAACCUCUGAGGAAGAAUAAUGGAUUUAACGCUACAUUUUUU
rnacentral:lncRNA from 1 species